rnacentral:rRNA from 1 species
ACUCAAAUGAAUUGACGGGGACCCGCACAAGCAGCGGAGCGUGUGGUUUAAUUCGAUGCAACGCGAAGAACCUUACCAGGGUUUGACAUGCAACUGCACCACCCGUUACGGGGUGUCCCGCAAGGGCGGUUGCACAGGUGCUGCAUGGCUGUCGUCAGCUCGUGUCGUGAGAUGUUGGGUUCAGUCCCGCAACGAGCGCAACCCCUGCCGUUAGUUGAAUGAUCUAGCGGGACCGCCGCGAUCAACGCGGAGGAAGGCGGGGAUGACGUCAAGUCAGCACGGCCCUUACGCCCUGGGCUACACACACGCUACAAUGGUCGGUACAACGGGCCGCCAACCCGCGAGGGGGAGCCAAUCCCAUCAAAACCGGCCUCAGUUCAGAUUGCAGGCUGCAACCCGCCUGCAUGAAGUUGGAGUUGCUAGUAACCGUGGGUCAGCACACCACGGUGAAUACGUUCCCGGGUCUUGUACACACCGCCCGU